UUAUGGCCAUAUCACGUUAAAACACCGGUUACCAUAAGAUCACCGAAGUUAAGCAACGUCGAGCCUGGUCAGUACGUAGAUGAGUGACAGCUUGGAAAUACCAGGUGCUGUAAG
rnacentral:rRNA from 1 species